rnacentral:rRNA from 1 species
UACGGAGGGUGCAAGCGUCAUCCGGAUUUACUGGGUUUAAAGGGUGCGUAGGCGGACAGGUAAGUCCGUGGUGAAAUCUCUGAGCUUAACUCAGAAACUGCCAUGGAUACUAUUUGUCUUGAAUACUGUGGAGGUAAGCGGAAUAUGUCAUGUAGCGGUGAAAUGCUUAGAUAUGACAUGGAACACCAAUUGCGAAGGCAGCUCACUACACAGUUAUUGACGCUGAGGCACGAAAGCGUGGGGAUCAAACAGG